rnacentral:sRNA from 1 species
UGGUAAAUGAGAAAAAUCUGGUGAGU